ACUUGUUGAUGCAUUAACAUAAACUUGACAUCUGUAUCAGGUGCAAACAGCAAAAAUAUGUGAAAACUGGAGAGCCUUAAAACGAAACGUUUUAGCUGAAAACGUGAUCCGCAAAAGUAAAUGAAAAACGGAGCCUGCCUGUUAUGUUGAAUUUUUCUAAAAAAAAAAAUUCUCAAUAUUUGGAUGGAUAACGAUAGAAAUGCUUCCACUGUUUUGAGCUUAAUAUUUGACCAACUAGAGACAUGUAUGUAUUUAACAAGCGAUGAGAACAACGAUGAAAUAAGUACGAGCUUUCCAAAAUGCGGUAUCUAUACAUAUGGCAAAUUUAUGGAUAUGAAUUUGGAAUGCAUAUUAUCUAAAAUAAGCGUAAUAUGAAAAAAUAUAUAAAUAAAAUAUAUCAUAAAAUAAUCACAU